rnacentral:misc_RNA from 1 species
UGGAUACUCAACAUCAACUUUAUUGAUAAAUGCUAAAAAAAAAAAACAACAGAGAACUGUCUGAAUAGGAUCUGAACAUUCUCUUCUCAUGUAGGAAAGAUUAUCAGAAAGAACCGAACCACAUCUUUUUGCUAAAAAGAAAAACACUAUCACCUCGGAAUCAACACAACAUCAACUUGACCCAUCAAACAAGCUCAGUAAAUGCUUGGUCUUGCCUGGCAUUAUAGGUAGGCAACUGAUGCUGCAGCUAAUAUAAUAACCGUUGUGGGUAACAAUGUCCAAAAUCUGUUCACUUGUUUGUAUCAGAAUCUUCAUUGGUUCAUACACUAAUAAUGAAUCUUCAUUCUAGCUAUUUUCUCCGAGAUAAAUAAUCACGACCAUCUGCAUCAGAAUCUUCGUUGGCAUCGAAUCUGACACUGAAGAACUUUCCUCUCAAUUUCCAACUCUACUUGCACUGGUUUAAGAUGGACAGAGCCUCUUUCCUUUAUGUUUAUUUACUCUGAUGAUUAUUAUCACUUAUUCCAGCAUUCUAUUAUCUAUUCAUUUAAAGAUGAUUGCAUGUGCUCUGUGCACGCAUGAACUAGACUAAGGGAUGUUUAAUGGCAAAAGGGUAAGAAAUCACCCCAAAAUACAAAAUGUCUCAUAGAACACUAGGAUCAUACAAAACAACAACAAUUACAAAAAAAAAAAAAAAA